UGAGGAAUAUUGGUCAAUGGACGAGAGUCUGAACCAGCCAAGUAGCGUGAAGGAUGACUGCCCUAUGGGUUGUAAACUUCUUUUAUACGGGAAUAAAGUUAGCCACGUGUGGCUUUUUGUAUGUACCGUAUGAAUAAGGAUCGGCUAACUCCGUGCCAGCAGCCGCGGUAAUACGGAGGAUCCGAGCGUUAUCCGGAUUUAUUGGGUUUAAAGGGAGCGUAGGCGGGUUGUUAAGUCAGUUGUGAAAGUUUGCGGCUCAACCGUAAAAUUGCAGUUGAUACUGGCGACCUUGAGUGCAACAGAGGUAGGCGGAAUUCGUGGUGUAGCGGUGAAAUGCUUAGAUAUCACGAAGAACUCCGAUUGCGAAGGCAGCUUACUGGAUUGUAACUGACGCUGAUGCUCGAAAGUGUGGGUAUCAAACA
rnacentral:rRNA from 1 species